UCCAAUAGACUGUGAGUGAAAGUGAAAGAAAUUGAUUUGUACAAUCUAUUAUUGUAUUUAAACCUAUUUUGGGAUUGACAGAAAUGACAGACUCUCUUUUCUUUCUCCCAAAACCUCCAAUACUAAUCCCAAAAUGAUUAGAAAA